rnacentral:rRNA from 1 species
GAUGAACGCUGGCGGCGUGCCUAAUACAUGCAAGUCGAGCGCAGCGGGGACGGUUGCGUAACACUUGGUUACCCUCCUUUACGACUGCGAUAACUUCGGGAAACCGGUGCUAAACCUGCUACUUAUAUAUGGCUCCUCGCUGCAUUAGCUAGUUGUUAAGGUAACGGCUUACCAAGGCCACGAUGCAUAGCCGACCUGAGAGGGUGAUCGGCCACACUGGAACUGAGACACGGUCCAGACUCCUACGGGAGGCAGCAGUAGGGAAUCUUCCGCAAUGGGCGAAAGCCUGACGGAGCAACGCCGCGUGAGUGAUGAAGGUCUUCGGAUCGUAAAACUCUGUUAUUAGGGAAGCGGUACCUAAUCAGAAAGCCACGGCUAACUACGUGCCAGCAGCCGCGGUAAUUC